rnacentral:snRNA from 1 species
CUACUUACCUGGUGGGAGAGAUACCAUGCUUGUGAAGGUGGCUUUCCCAGGGCGAGGAUUACCCAUUGCACCCAAGAUGAGCUGACUCCUGUGAUUUCCCCAAACUUGGGAAACUCACAAAUUGCGUAAUUUGUGGUAGUGGGGAACUGUGUUCGCGCUCCCCU